CUUGACGCCGCCGGCAGGCCUAACACAUGCAAGUCGAACGAGUGGCGGACAGGUGAGUUAUGUCUGGGAAACGGGCUGAUGGAGGGGGAUCACCAGUGGAAACGCUGCCCACUACCGCAUACCAUCGGAUGGGGCAAGAUGGGAGUAGCUAGUAGGUGGGGUAAAGGCUGACCUAGGCGACGAUCCCUAGAUGGUCUGAGAGGAUCACCAGCCAGACUGGAGUGGAGACACGGUACAGACUCCUACGGAAGGAGAGAUUGGUGAAUGUUGCGCAAUGGGCGCAAGCCUGAUUCAGGCAUAACGCGUGUAAGAAGGGGGCCGUCGGGUUGGAAAGUACUUUCAGCGGGGAGGCGUUGAGCGCAGAGAAAGCACCGGCUAAGUCCGUGCCAGCAGCCGCGGUAAUUC
rnacentral:rRNA from 1 species